rnacentral:rRNA from 1 species
UACGUAGGGUGCAAGCGUUGUCCGGAAUUAUUGGGCGUAAAGGGCUCGUAGGCGGUCCAUCGCGUCGGGGAGUGAAAAGCUGGGGCUUAACCCCAGUCCUGCUUCCGAUACGGGUGGACUAGAGGUAGGUAGGGGAGAUCGGAAUUCCUGGUGUAGCGGUGAAAUGCGCAGAUAUCAGGAGGAACACCGAUGGCGAAGGCAGGUCUCUGGGCCGAUACUGACGCUGAGAGCGAAGACGUGGGGAGCGAACAGG